AUUUAUAUUCAAUGUCGAUAGUGAAUGGAUUGCACAUUCAAAUCGUUCUUGUCACACAAGCGUCACCGAAAGGUGUCAGUUGAGUAUUGAAUACCCUACCGACAACAGCUCCAAGAACAAAGUACACAUUUUCAGCCGGAUUACUUGAACCGCGUGGAAUUUAACACAAAAUGUUGAGGACAAAAGGGACAACAGCACUUCUGAUGCUGCUAAUACUCGUCUUUCUGCACUCAAAUGCCGUUAUAGAUGGGACCGGCUCGUUUCUGAGAAACAAACUCAGUGCUCCCACUAAUUCAACGUAAUGAAAAACUACACUUCAUCAGAUCUUGCGAGACCGAAAAUAAACAUCUAGCAUACCACACUGGUGGCAAUAGUCUGGGCUUGUUAUGCAGAGAUUUCAUCCAUUUUUACAAAUAAAGGUGUCACGACGAAUGGUAUGUUCAUUUUUACAAAGUUAAUAUGGUGAAUCAAGUUAUAUGGCCGCUAAGAUCAAAACAAACUUUGAAAAUGGUUAGUUGCACUAUAGGCGGAGUCCUUGUUUGAAUUUUAUAUGCAUGUAUUAUUUUUUAUAUUGGCCAUUUUUUUAAUUCUUAGAAUGGAGUGUUGAGGGGCUGUUUGUGUGACUUUUUAUGAAUUAAAUUCAGUUAAAUAAAAAAAAUGUGUCUGCAUAAGAAAAUCAAUCCUCUUCCACAUGCAUCGGUAUAUCUUCAUUUGUCAGGGUAUCAUUUGCUAAAAAAUUGAUCAAAAAAAUAAUCAAGUUUUUUUUUUUUUAUACAAUAAAUACAAUGUGCCAUUAGCUAUGAUUUAACAACAAAACAUUUGAUUAAUAGCAUUCAAAUAUUUUAAUUGCUUGACAGAACUAGUUAAAACCCUUUAUAGUUUAAGCGGCCCGUAUGCGGCCUGCACAUGCAUCGGUGUAUCUUCAUGUGUCAGGGUAUCAUUCGCUAAAAAAUGGAUCAGAAAAAUAAUCAAGUUUUUUUUUUUUUUUUACAAUAAAUACAAUGUGCCAUUAGCUAUGAUUUAACAACAAAACAUUUGAUUAAUAGCUUUCAAAUAUUUUAAUUGCUUGACAGAACUAGUUAAAACCCUUUAUAGUUUAAGCGGCCCGUAUGCGGCCUGCAUGAGGGUCCUGUGCGCAAGGUAAAAGUCAAACCACACCAUUUGAAGACCUGGACAUUGCUUGUCCCGUGCCACAUACCUUCAAAGGUUAAUUAAAAAUGUCCCAAAAUUAUUUUCUAAUUUCAUAAAUUUUCAUGAAUGGACCAAAGCUGCUUUGCUUUUAUUUUGAAGUUGUCUCAUUUCACGUACAUAAUGACGUAUCAAGACGUGCGCAUGAUUGGAUCGUUGUUACAAGCAGGUCACCACAUGACUUUAGCCCAGAAAAAUGUCUGCUCGUGCUUAAAAAAGAAUGCUAGAUGCUGAAUGCAGAGUUUUCAACAAAUAUUGGACAGCUAAGUAUUUAUUUACGGUUGUCAGAGGUAAAGCUGUAUUUAGUUUGCGGGGAGCAGAUCGCCGUGUUUAAGGACUACAAUUUGAAUCGGCAUUACGAGGCGAAACAUGAGAAACUUGAAUGAUGCUGAAACGGCACGGACAUCGGAAGCUUUGCUAGCUAAGCUGCAAAAGCAACAAGGCUUUUUUUUUUUACCAAGCUUCACACAUCCAGGGAUGCAGAAACCUAGACCAGCUCUGUAAUAUCGUUCAAAAUUACUCAAUACAGUUGGCCGUUCUCGGAGGGGGAGUUUGUCAAAAAGGGCUUGAUGGACUAUGCCCUGAAAGAAAGAAGCAUUUGAGCAAAUCUCGCUGUCCAGGCGAAUCGUGACAAGAAGGAUCGAGAACAUUGCGGGAAAUCUGCAGCUUCAGCGGCAACACAAAGUAGCAAAUUUUGACUUUUUCUUCUUGUCUGGACGAAAGCUGUGAUGCCCACGACACAGAGCAGUUACCGUAAUUUCCGGACUAUAAACCACACCGGACUAUAAGCCGCACCAGCUAAAAUCCGGGGAUAUUUUAGUUUCUUUCUUAUAUAAGCCGCACCGGACUAUAAGCCGCACGUGCACACAAGUUUUUUACAAAGAAAGACAGUACACAGAAAGCCUUUUUAAAGUUUUAAUAACAUACUUUAACUUGUCUUUCUAAACAUUGCCUGUGACGCAGCAGUAGUACCGCAGCAACACAGAAGUGUGCACGCGAGUUAUUAACAAAGAAAGACUGGACACAGAAAGCUUUUUUAAAGUUUUAAUAACAUACCUUAACAUUUCUUUCCAAACACUGCCUGUGACGCGGCAGUAAUACCGCAGCAACACGGAAGUAACACAGCACUAAUAGGGUUUGAUUAAAUAAAACAUACCGGUAAAAGUCACUGAGACGCGGCGGUAACACAGCAGCAACACGGUAGCACAGCACUAACAGGGCUGAUUAAAAAAGCAUACAAGUAAAAGUAAAAAAAAGAGCUUCAUCGUCUUCAUCUUCCUCCUGUGCAUUGAAACCAUCAAAGUCUUCCGAUUGGAAUAGCGUUAGUUAUCCUUUGCCACACACUUUCUCAGUAUAUCUUUCGUCGUCGGUUUUAUGCAUUUCUUCUAGCAUUUUCCAUGAUGAGGGUCUGUUCAUGCUAAUUUUAUUCAUGCACGAAGCGCUAAAUUACAUUAAGCUAGCGAGCGACACGCAUAGCUUCAGAGUAGUCGGGACCACGAAAUAAAGAAAAGGGUGAUGCAACACAAUGUCAUCAACAUCGACUGCCUUUAGCUUAAAAGCGGCAUCAUAUGCAUUUCUUUUGUCCCCCAUAAUGACGGUUUGUGUAUAAAAGCUUCCUUUCAGUAAUGUCCGUCUUGAUCUCGUUCUGUCUCUUCUUUGUGUGAAUUAUACGGCACUAUUUGCCUGGCGGAUGGAUAUGCGAUAAACACACCACUUUUCUCCCCAGUGACCAUGUCAUAUCCCUCCGCCCAGCAAAGCGGUGCUGCACAACAGCUGUCCACAGCCUAUUUACGAGUGUAUAAACAGAUACUUUCAAGUUUUAAUCAUUAAUUACACCAUUAUAGCUCAGAAAUUGAUCUAAACACAAAUAAUUAGUGACAACUAUCGAAACACAUCAAUGAUAUAAGCUGGGUGACAAUCGUCCUUGACAUUAGUACAUAAUGUAAACAUUAGCCUAAGUGCAACUCAACGUGGCCGCAUUGAUCGUAACUUACGCUCCGUUUCCCCCCCAAAUCUAGAGGCAAAACAUUGUUCUCUCGCUGCUCCCGGGUUCUUCCAUCUUGGCUGCGCGCGGGGCAUUGUGGGUCUUGUAGGUGCACGCACGCAGGCAGGCGCGGGCGCGCACGCAACAACUAAAUUUGUCUUCAUAACAAGCAAGCAGGGCUGUGGACAGUAUUCCUACGCGCAUUCUCAGCAGCAUGAUGAAAAUAAAAUUGAACGUAUUUAUUUUUAUUGUUGGACUCGGUGGACUCGGUCAAAAUCAGCACCGAGUCCGAGUCCGGCAAAAAUGACUGAGUCUGACCGAAUCCGAGUCCCCGAGUCCACAGCCCUGGCAUGGACACACUGGGACUGAAAUCGGACGGACUGGCAGGUUUUACAAUGGACAGUGGUCCAAAUCUUACAGGGAGAAAUGUCGGACUUUUGAACGUAUGCAAGAUAGUGACGGAGAUGAUAUACAGCAGUGUUUUUCAGCCGGGGUGCCGCGGCACACUGGUGUGCCGCAAAAUAUUGUCAGGGGUGCCGUGGGAAAUUCUCCAAUUUGUGCGCCUGUGCGGUGUAGCGCCCGGCAGAGUAAUCAUAUCUUCCAUAUCAGAAGGUGGCAGCAGCAGGUAGCGAUUUGCCUUGUGCUUGCAGACGAGAAAAUUGGUGACGCAUGGCAGCGGCAGGUAUAUGGGAUGCCCAUGCAGGUAGCAUUGACAGCGACGUUGUCAUUGUGGAUAGCGAGACGAGUCGAUAGUGACAGUGAUGGAGACGUUUUUUAAGAGAAAAAAUGCUGACACUGUAUUCAGCACACACUGGUGUGCCGUGAGAGACGUUCCGCUGUGCCGUGGGAUUGUUAAAUAUUAAUUACGGAGCGCAUUAUAAACAGGAUCGCCAAACCACUGGCCAGUUCGCGCAAGGCAUGGUCAGCCACUCGCUAAUCGUGCAUGCGUGGAGAAUCAGAGAAUCUUGAGAUUUCAUAUUGUGUCGGUCUGAUUGUAUUGCAUCGGCACAUAUUCAGUUUAGGUGUGUGUUGCUGUGUGCUUUUGCUAACAGUGACAGACACUAUGACGGUUGUGGUGCGUUUGUGGUCCAAUGGAAAUCCGAGCAUGCAGUUCAACCGGAGAACCUGGAUUGGCUAUUUUUCACAUACAUAAAAUAAACAGUCAAGUCGAGACACCUCGACUGUGAUAGCCACUCAGCUGCUGUCAGAACAGCAGAGCGUCUUUAAAAGUGACUUUGUUCUUAUUGUUGCAAUAUUUAUAGACCUAGUCUAAAACAGUAAACCAAAUCACGUUGAUUGUUUUAUUUUAAUCACAAUCACUUUAAAUAGUUUAUUUCUUACACCGUCUAAAACCUUUUUAAAAAACUGUCACUUUUAUUUAAAAAAAGGAAUACAAUUUAAAGAAUAUUUAGUAUUUAUUUUUAUUAAAUUACCGUUUAUUUCCAUGUAUAAUGCGCAAAAUUUAACUAAUUUAUUGUCCUAAAAUCUGGGGUGCGCAUUAUACAUGGGUACCAUUUUUUUUGAAGAAGAAGAAGAAAAUCAUGGUACAACAAUUUUUGAAGAAAAUCUUGUCACGGAUGGAGAGUGGAAAGGAGCAGGGCGACCAAGUGCAGCUUGAACCAGGGUUCAUUUGAGGAACUCAAAACACAGACUUGGUAAACUAUCAUAACUCUCUAGUAACAAAACCAACAACAGGACUGACUGACAAAGACGUUGAACAAAAAGACAGGGUGACAUUACCAAAGACAGGAACAGAAACCUGUGUUAUUGUCAAAUAUUGUUUGUUUUUUAAUCUCCAUCGCGGACUGGACGUCAUACGGAGGCAGUAUCACUGCUCAUGCGCACUAUGGAUCCGAUGCGAAUAGUCCUCUUCUUGACUGACAAUGAAUGUGAUAGUUUAAUACAAUCAGCAAAUAACAAAAUGCGUAUUACAGGUAAUAUUUUAUUUCACAACACUUUGCCUUGUUCCUUUCGUCUCUGCUGUUCACUUCAAACACGCUCCAUACGAACACAAUGCUCUCGUAUCAGACGCUUGCUCGAUCACCUGCUCGUUUGCUGUCACAAUGUACCCUACACAAAUCCGAAACAUUUGUUGCGGCUCCGAGUCACGACGAGGGGCAAGUUUUGGUUUCCAAGGGUGUUUUUAUUCCUCUUCAAAUUCUCUCCCAUACAGAGCCGCCUUUUUCACCUGUCCGCACGCCUUUUCACAUGUCGGCACUUUAACCUAACUGAUCGCGGUGGUGCCUUUACGGGCAGUCGGAGAAAUCAACCCCAACAAAAAAAAUACAUCCAGCCUAGUUAAGACCAUACCAAAGACUAUAAACAUGGGACCCAUUGCCUCCCUGCUUGGCACUCAGCAUUAAGGGUUGGAAUUGGGGGGUUAGAUCACCAAAUGAUUCCCGAGUCACUGCUCCCAUCCCCCUCUCCCCUCUCCCCCAGGGGAUGGAUCAAAAUCACACAGGGAUGGGUCAAAUGCAGAGGACAAAUUUCACCACACCCAGAUGCGUGUGUGACGAUCAUUGGGACUUAAAAAAAAUAAAACAUUAAUAAAAAUAAAAUAAUUUGGGUGCGUAUUAUACAUGGGUACAGGCUUUUUUCCAGCAUUGACAUGCCAUUUUUAGGGUGCGUAUUACACAUGGGGGCGCAUUAUACAUGGAAAAAAACGGUAUUUGACUUUCCAUACAUAUAUAUAGGAAUAGGACUUUACGUCUUUCGUUGCAAUAUAACUGAUUUUAAUAUAGAAGCAUAACUGUCAGGGAACAGAGACAGGGCUACCAAGUGCAGCAUGAUCCUUUAUUGGCAAAGGGGAAAAGGGGAAGUGGAACACUGGACCUGUGGUCUGGCUGGCGUGGCAGAGCAGCCGAGCACAGCGCGUAGUCGUAGUCGGAGGCAGGCAGUCGAAGGACGAGCAGGUCGUCAGGACAGGCGGCGAUCAGAAGCGUGGUCGAAGGGCGAGCAGGUAGUCAGGACAGGCGGCGAUCAGAAGCGUGGUCGAAGGGCGAGCAGGUAGUCAGGACAGGCGGCGGUCAGAAGCGUGGUCGAAGGUCACGGAAGCAGGUGGCUACAAAGAUCGGUCCGGCGAAAAAGGCAGUAGUGUCACGGGCAGGGUAAGCAGACGAACUGACAACCACUGGCAGAACACAGAGAGGUUAAGUAGGGGACCUAACGAGCUGUAGCUCGUGUGUGCCGCGAGAUUUUUUCCAAUAAAAAGGUGUGCCGUGAAUGAAAAAAGGUUGGGAAACACUGAUAUACAGGACUGUCUUAGAAAAUUAGAAUAUUAUGAUAAAGUUCUUUAUUUUCUGUAAUGGAAUUAAAAAAAAAAAAAAGUCAUACAUUCUGGAUUCAUUACAAAUCAACUGAACUACUGCAAGCCUUUUAUUAUUUUAAUAAAACUGAUUAUGGCAUACAGCUUAAGAAAAUUCAAAUAUCCUCUCUCAAAAUAUUAGAAUAUAAUGAAAAAGUAAACUAGUAGGGUAUUCAAUUAAUCACUUGAAUCGUCUAAUUAACUCAAAACACCUGCAAGGGUUUCCUGAGCCUUGAAAAACACACAGCUUGGUUCACUAAACUAAAUCACAAGUAUUUGCAACGACCCGGACUGUCUCAGUAAUUAUAGGCCAGUUUCAAACCUCCCAUUCAUAGCAAAACGUCUUGAAAAAGUAGUAGCUCAGCAGCUUAUUGAUUACAUGGUUGCCAAUAAUCGAUAUGACUCUUUUCAGUCUGGUUUUAGAGCUAAUCAUUCCACUGAGACAGCACUUGCUAAAGUGACUAAUGAUCUCCUUGUAGUUAUCUGUUUUGUUACUACUCGAUCUUAGUGCUGCUUUCGACACUGUAGACUUCGAUAUUUUAUUAGGGCGUCUUAAAAGUUGUGUUGGUAUUUCAGGGUCAGCACGAGGCUGGUUCCAUUCCUAUCUAUCAGACAGGACGCACCGAGUGGUCCAUGGCAAUACGUCCUCUGAGCUCUAUAAUGUUACGUGUGGUGUCCCACAGGGAUCGGUACUCGGACCAAUUCUAUUUAAUAUUUACCGUUUUUUUCCAUGUAUAAUGCGCCCCCAUGUAUAAUACGCACCCUAAAAAUGGCAUGUCGAUGCUGGAAAAAAGCCUG